GAGUGGGUGCCGCGAGGGGGCGGCUCGCGCGGGGAGAGCCGUCAGCCCACGGCGCCCCUGCGCUGCUGUGGAUGUGGCCACGCGCCACUCGGCCCUUGGACUGCUAGGAGAGCGCGGCCCGACGCCACCACGCCGUGGACGCUCGGGGACCCCUGAAUCCCAGCGUCAAGGCUGCGACGAUGCUCGUGACCUCCACCGCGAAGUCACCUCCGCAAGGCGACGCAAGGACCUCGGCGAUCCCGGGCGCCGUACACCCGCCACUUUCCAGCCUCAUGUAACCCCCCCUCUGCUGCUUCCUCCCGGCGCUUUGCUUUUCUACAACUGGAAGCCGCGAAGGCGGCUACUGCGCUGAGCCGCUCGCUCUGCUGGUCAAGUUUGGGCGACCCGCGCGGAGGAGGGUCGGGCUGACUGCCGCCGCUGAGCUGUCCCCGGACGGGAGCGCCUGUCCACGGCACUCACCCCCUCCAGCGGUGGAAAUGUGGAGAAGUAAGUGGGAGGCGGUGUCGGGAACUGACUCCUCUUAAAACGGUCGGCGCCGCUGCUCUGAAAUGGGCGGCUAAGUGCUUGUGGGACUAAGGGCGGCCUCAGAGAUGCCCGGAAAAUCGCUGCCACGGCCAGAGUGCGGCGCAGACGCGGCAGAGUUGGAGGUGUCCGCGGUGCAGGCUGCUGCCCACGCCGCUCAGGCCAGGUGCUGAGGGCUCAGCCCGCGCCUCGGCCGAACCACUCUCAGCCCCGUUGAGCCACCUCGUCCGCCCGGCUUUCAUCGCACCGGCCAGAGGAAAGUUCCCGCGGCCCCCACGCCUCUUCACAGCUGCAGCGCCUCCCCUGCUUUUGGCUCCGCAAGUGCCCACUUGAGUCGGGAGAGGUCCUCGGGCCGCCCCAACUGCCCGCCCCA
rnacentral:lncRNA from 1 species